rnacentral:rRNA from 1 species
UACGUAGGGUGCGAGCGUUUAAUCGGAAUUACUGGGCGUAAAGCGUGCGUAGGCGGUUGGCAAAGUCAGCUGUGAAAGCCCCGGGCUCAACCUGGGAAUGGCAUUUGGGACUGCAAGGCUUGAGUGCGGCAGAGGAGACUGGAAUUCCUGGUGUAGCAGUGAAAUGCGCAGAUAUCAGGAGGAACACCGGUGGCGAAGGCGGGUCUCUGGGCCGAUACUGACGCUGAGGAGCGAAAGCGUGGGGGAGCGAACAGG